UACAGAGGUGGCAAGCGUUGUUCGGAAUUACUGGGCGUAAAGGGCGCGUAGGCGGCCUUCUAAGUCGGACGUGAAAUCCCCAGGCUUAACUUGGGAACUGCGCCCGAUACUGGAGGGCUUGAGUGCGGGAGAGGGAUGUGGAAUUCCAGGUGUAGCGGUGAAAUGCGUAGAUAUCUGGAGGAACACCGGUGGCGAAGGCGGCAUCCUGGACCGACACUGACGCUGAUGCGCGAAAGCCAGGGGAGCAAAACGGGG
rnacentral:rRNA from 1 species